UACGUAGGGUGCGAGCGUUAAUCGGAAUUACUGGGCGUAAAGCGUGCGCAGGCGGUUCGUUGUGUCUGAUGUGAAAGCCCCGGGCUCAACCUGGGAACUGCAUUGGAAACUGGCGGACUUGAGUGUGGCAGAGGGGGGUGGAAUUCCGCGUGUAGCAGUGAAAUGCGUAGAGAUGCGGAGGAACACCGAUGGCGAAGGCAGCCCCCUGGGCCAACACUGACGCUCAGGCACGAAAGCGUGGGGAGCAAAC
rnacentral:rRNA from 1 species